ACUGGACAUUUAUUUUUAUUCAGUUUCUUCUCAAAGUGAAGGAAACUCUUUGUAAAUGUCCUAGAGAAAUACAGUAGCUUUCUGUUCACCUUUUGUAAGCAAAAAGGGUGGAUCGUUCCACUACUGACAUU
rnacentral:snoRNA from 1 species